GAGAUCUCAAAUUUGAAAUCUGGUACCCUUCGGUGCCCGAGUUGUAAUUUGGAGAGAGCGAUUCUGGGGCUGGCGCUUGCCUAUGUUCCUUGGAACAGGACGUCAUAGAGGGUGAGAACCCCGUGAGGCGAGAUGUACCAGUUCUUUGUAGAGCGCUCUCGAAGAGUCGAGUUGUUUGGGAAUGCAGCUCUAAGAGGGUGGUAAAUUCCAUCUAAAGCUAAAUACAGGCGAGAGACCGAUAGCGAACAAGUACAGUGAUGGAAAGAUGAAAAGAACUUUGAAAAGAGAGUGAAAAAGGACGUGAAAUUGUUGAAAGGGAAGGGCAUUUGAUCAGACAUGGUGUUUUGUGCCCCUCGCUCCUCGUGGGUGGGGGAAUCUCGCAGCUCACUGGGCCAGCAUCAGUUUUGGUGGCAGGAGAAAGCCUUGGGAAUGUGGCUCUUGCCUUUUUUGGCGGGGGUGUUAUAGCCCGAGGGGAAUACUGCC
rnacentral:rRNA from 1 species